UACGACAUAAUAUUUCUGUACAUGAUACGAACUUUUGUCAAAUUUUUCGGUUACGAAAUGUAUUAUCGGAGAGUGUGUUACAAGGAGAGUGGAGGCGGAUGAGCUUGUAAGCUGCGGGUAUGAAUCUCGCGUGUUUUGUCUUUAACGUCAACUUGGCUUUAACGCUGCUGCAUCGAAGAUACUGCUUCGCGUUCUAAGGUAAUUGAAUGAAAAUAUUUAAACCAACCGAUUGGGAUGAAAUGUCAGGUGAAAAAAUAUGACGACGCUGAAAUACAAGCAGCAAAAUGCGAAAGACGCGAUCCAAAUGGUCUGGCCGCUUAAUUGGCGCGGAGUUCAUUUAGAAGAAUAAGCCAGGGAAUUGAGUAACGGAUCGUAAGCGCGACUAUCGAGAAAUUCUUUGGCCGUAUACGGCUGGCUAGCGAUGACUUCUCAAUGGGAGAAAGUUAUCGUUCGAGAUACUUGGCCUUCCGCGUUACAAGGAUUCGAUCGAACAGAGCGCGAAUGCCGCGUCAGACAAAACUGAUCGGCGGAAUCGCUGCUGCGGACGAAUCUAUUUUCGCCAUAUACGCCAAAGAGGAGAAAGCUACUCGACGUUGUACGCAACGUUUUCGGUUUAUCGAAAAACAAAAGGAUAUAAAAA